AAUAGGUAAAUAUUGGACUAUGAAACGUAGCUGUCAAUGACAAUUAUUUGCCCAUGUAUUCGGCCUUCCCUUCCAUUGAUUAAACUAUUUUUUUCAAUCACAGUCUAAUUAAAACCCAUUCCAUCGUGAUUUAUGUGAUUAUUCGGCGUCCAGCCUCCGCACAAAAUUUGAUGGAUCCUUGGGGCACUGAAGUGGAAAAAUCAACAGUUGUGUCUGCAUUUGAAGAUAAUUUCGAGCCCGCUCCUGAAUUCGAGAAGUUGUCCGACUCCGAGGAAUAUUUGGCCGUUUUGGGUAAUAUGUGAUGGCCGGGAACCGCAAGAGCCUGUUCAUAUUCCUGAUGGGGUUGGCCUGGAAGUGUCGGUUCAGCAUGCCGCUGAUCCUGAGCGGCACGGUGGCCGUGCUCGGGCGCGCGUUCAUGUUCCAGAUACGUGUGCACACCGUCCACACGCUGCAUGAGAACGAGCUAGCAUACUACGAGGAGGAAGAUGACGAGCAAGGCGAUGCUGAGUCCUGGGAGACAGGCUCCACCGACUCCUGGGAGACUAUAGUAGAGGAGGUUGCUUACGGUUGAUACAGUGACCAGUAAAUGCUAAGCCAAAAUAUGAUCUAUUCGUUCGUAUAUUAGAUGGUUGUCUGGUUACUUGAUAAAUUGUUUCGUAAAAUUUUAGGUGUUUACUUAAAUUUAUGAUAUCCAUAGGGACGUAUAGAGGCCAAAUUGUCUUUGGAAUUCGGUUUUUUUUAAUUUGCAAUAUUAAAAAAAAAGAACUAACUUAAAAAAAUACCUUCAGCAUUUUGGCUCCACAUAGGGUUAUUAUAUGCGUUUGCAUUCCUAUAAUGUUAUUAGUUUAUCUAUGUGGUAUAGGGUAUUGAUAUCCAGUAUUUGGAUACAAGCGUAAAUUAUCGAUGGAUAAUUUAAUCGUACCCAAUAAAUAAACUUGUACAGUCAAAAUAAGAUCCGAAAUGGAAAUAUUUAUUAUUUAAUAUAAAAUUAUUAUAUUGUGUAAUAAUUCGGCGUAUUCGCCUACACCCUACAUUGUGUUAGUUGACCUUUAGGAAUGAAUUCCCCACCAGAUUAGUGGUGGGAGAUGUUGCAUGUUAGGGGUUAGUUUACAUUUUGCUGAAAUCCAGUGAAUACGACCAUUAGAGGCAAAUAUAUAUACUAAUAUAUAACCAGCUGGUUCGCAGUGGUUUUCAUCUCAGAAUAUGUUUAUCGUAUUUUUAAACACGAAGCAAAUUGACACAUAACUUGUUAUAGUAUAACACCAAGUACCAAUUAACCUUAGUAGAGGGAGAAGGGGGUUCGAAUUGGGCAGCUGCCCAGAGUUUCGUGCUUACAGGGCCCUUGCGCGGAGCCUUGGAGGAUCUUUUUUUAUUAUCUCACCUACGAAACUGUUAAAAUCGGGAAUUUAUUUUGCUCUGCUCGGAGCCUCGCGUUGAUAUUUCUUCUUUCUUUCGCCGC
rnacentral:misc_RNA from 1 species